CAGGUUCUAUGCUGAUGUGGAAAGCAUACUCGAUGUUACCUUUGGAAGCUUCAGACCAAUUGCUGAUACCCAAUUUUUCCCUAUAUAUUUUAUAAUCAAACUAUUCUCAAAAAUAGCAUAUAGAAGUAUCCACAGAGGUAUUAGUUUUUUUUCCACAUUUUUUAAGAAUUUGUAAAUCGAUUUAUGACCUAUUUUUGCACUACAAAAUCCAAUAAUUAUUCCCAAAGUUUGUUAUUUUGAUAAAUAAUUU
rnacentral:lncRNA from 1 species